UACGUAGGGUGCGAGCGUUAAUCGGAAUUACUGGGCGUAAAGCGUGCGCAGGCGGUUCGCCAAGUCAGGUGUGAAAUCCCCGGGCUUAACCUGGGAAUUGCGCUUGAAACUAGCGGGCUUGAGUGUGGCAGAGGGGGGUGGAAUUCCACGUGUAGCGGUGAAAUGCGUAGAGAUGUGGAGGAACACCCAGGGGGAAACCAGUCGACUGGGCAUCUACUGACGCUGAGGUGCGAGAGCGUGGGGAGCGAACCGG
rnacentral:rRNA from 1 species